rnacentral:rRNA from 1 species
AUUAAAUGGUAUUGGGCCGCACAAAGUGCGUUCAGGUCCGUCGUCAGGCUCGUCUCGCUCGGAUUUUCGAACCUAGUUUCGUUGUCGAGUGCUUGACGCGGCUGUUGGGCGACGGUGUCCUCGGACUGGCUCUAAAUAUUCGAACGGAUAUACCUGUCGGCGACGCUACUGCUUUGGGUACUUUCAGGACCCGUCUUGAAACACGGACCAAGGAGUCUAACAUGUGCGCGAGUCAUUGGGUGUUUACUAAACCUAAAGGCGCAAUGAAAGUGAAGGUCUUCCUUAGCGUUGGCCGAGGGAGGAUGGCUCGAGUCACGAUUCGAGCCCGCACUCCCGGGGCGUCUCGUGCUCAUUGCGAGCAGAGGCGCACCCAGAGCGUACACGUUGGGACCCGAAAGAUGGUGAACUAUGCCUGGUCAGGACGAAGUCAGGGGAAACCCUGAUGGAGGUCCGUAGCGAUUCUGACGUGCAAAUCGAUCGUCGGAACUGGGUAU